UAAGGAAUAUUGGUCAAUGGACGCAAGUCUGAACCAGCCAUGCCGCGUGAAGGAUGAAGGUCCUCUGGAUUGUAAACUUCUUUUAUCUGGGACGAAAACGGGAUUCUUAUCUCAAUUGACGGUACCAGAGGAAUAAGCACCGGCUAACUCCGUGCCAGCAGCCGCGGUAAUACGGAGGGUGCGAGCGUUAUCCGGAUUUACUGGGUUUAAAGGGUGCGUAGGUGGGCUUAUAAGUCAGUGGUGAAAUCUCCGAGCUUAACUUGGAAACUGCCGUUGAUACUUUUAUUCUUGAGUUCGGGAGAGAGAGACGGAAUUCCAGGUGUAGUGGUGAAAUACGUAGAUAUCUGGAAGAACACCAGUUGCGAAGGCGGUCUCUUGAUCCGACACUGACGCUGAGGCGCGAAAGCGUGGGGAGCAAACA
rnacentral:rRNA from 1 species